rnacentral:rRNA from 1 species
GUGGGGAAUUUUGGACAAUGGGCGCAAGCCUGAUCCAGCAAUGCCGCGUGUGUGAAGAAGGCCUUCGGGUUGUAAAGCACUUUUGGCAGGAGAGAAAUAGUGCGUGCUAAUACCAUGCGCGAAUGACGGUACCUGCAGAAUAAGCACCGGCUAACUACGUGCCAGCAGCCGCGGUAAGACGUAGGGUGCAAGCGUUAAUCGGAAUUACUGGGCGUAAAGCGUGCGCAGGCGGUGUUGUAAGACAGGUGUGAAAUCCCCGGGCUCAACCUGGGAACUGCACUUGUGACUGCAAGGCUAGAGUGUGUCAGAGGGAGGUGGAAUUCCGCGUGUAGCAGUGAAAUGCGUAGAGAUGCGGAGGAACACCGAUGGCGAAGGCAGCCUCCUGGGAUAACACUGACGCUCAGGCACGAAAGCGUGGGGAGCAAACAGGAUUAGAUACCCUAGUAGUCC